rnacentral:rRNA from 1 species
UACAGAGGGUGCGAGCGUUAAUCGGAAUUACUGGGCGUAAAGCGCGCGUAGGCGGCUUUGCAAGUCGGGUGUGAAAUCCCCAGGCUUAAUCUGGGAACUGCAUUCGAGACUGCAUUGCUAGAGUAUGGGAGAGGGAAGUGGAAUUUCCGGUGUAGCGGUGAAAUGCGUAGAUAUCGGAAGGAACAUCAGUGGCGAAAGCGACUUCCUGGACCAAUACUGACGCUCAUGUGCGAAAGCGUGGGGAGCAAACAGG